rnacentral:lncRNA from 1 species
CCCCCUGUGGGACUUGGAUCCUGGCAGGACUGUGAGCUAGGAGUCAGGCUGCCUGGGCCACACUGGCCUGGUGUCCACACCCACGUGCCCACCUGCACAGACAGGAAGGGGGACCGGGCAGGGUCGCUUCAGGCACCCCCGGGCUCCCCGCUGUGACCCUCCUGCAGCCCUGCUGGCCUUACUCUUCCUGGCACCCUGGGAGCCCUGAGUGACGGAGUCCAGACUCACACUCUGGUGGGGACUGCAGUCCAGGAGACUCGACAGUGAUAGAAAACCUGCGUCUCAACGGGGCUCUGAAGGAGGCAGCCGGCGCGGGAGACCGUCACAGGGACUCUGGCUGUGGAGCCCUUGGCUCUCCAGCCAGAAGCCAUGUUGCUAUGACUGACCCUCGCCCUCCUGUGGAGCCCCACCUACUGGGCAGGGGGUGAGACACGGCUCCUCCUGG